UACGUCGCCAUCUUGGAUCCGCGGGACAAGAAAAUUCAUGCGAGGGAGACGUGGUGGGCGGUCCUUCCUGUGACACGACCCUUGAGUGACAGUUCUAUUUGAUUGCCUCCGGUACUGUGAGGAAAGGACACGACUCUAUGGUGAGGACUGAUGGACAUACAUUAUCUGAGAAAAGAAACUACCAGCCUCCAGCUCUGAGCUUUCCAAUCCCCAGAGUAGCAAAUGUUGAAAGAAGUUGCACAGGUGACAAACAGCAUGUUUGGUGCUUCAAGAAAGAAGUUUGUAGAGGGGGUCGACAGUGACUACCAUGACGAAAACAUGUACUACAGCCAGUCUUCUAUGUUUCCACAUCGGUCAGAAAAAGAUAUGCUGGCAUCACCAUCUACAUCAGGUCAGCUGUCUCAGUUUGGGGCAAGUUUAUACGGGCAACAAAGUGCACUAGGCCUUCCAAUGAGGGGGAUGAGCAACAAUACCCCUCAGUUAAAUCGCAGCUUAUCACAAGGCACUCAGUUACCGAGCCACGUCACGCCAACAACAGGGGUACCAACAAUGUCACUUCACACGCCUCCAUCUCCAAGCAGGGGUAUUUUGCCUAUGAAUCCUAGGAAUAUGAUGAACCACUCCCAGGUUGGUCAGGGCAUUGGAAUUCCUAGCAGGACAAAUAGCAUGAGCAGUUCAGGGUUAGGUAGCCCCAACAGAAGCUCGCCAAGCAUAAUAUGUAUGCCAAAGCAGCAGCCUUCUCGACAGCCUUUUACUGUGAACAGUAUGUCUGGAUUUGGAAUGAACAGGAAUCAGGCAUUUGGAAUGAAUAACUCCUUAUCAAGUAACAUUUUUUAAUGGAACAGGUAAGCUUAUUCUGGAGCUAGUACCCUACAAAAAGUAUGAUAGAUUUAUGAAAUAUAAAGCAAUUCAACAUACUGGUCUUUAAAUAUGGUAGGAUUUUUUAUUAUGUUAGAUGGUAGAUUUUAAUUCAGUGAAAAAUAGGAAUAGGAUUCAAUACAGUGAAUAGUUG
rnacentral:lncRNA from 1 species